AAGUCGUAACAAGGUUUCCGUAGGUGAACCUGCGGAAGGAUCAUUAACACGUGAUUACCACGUUUUAAAACUCACCGUGAAAUUGUUUCUUAACCUAUUGUUGGAUGCAGGUAGGCGAAGUGGGGGAAUGCUAUGAGCCGCCUUUCUGCAAAGAUUGCCCGCUCUAACCCAUUAGUCGUUCUUAGGCCCGCCCUGGAGCUUGCACUGACAAAUAGUUGACGAGUUACGACUGCUUAUUAAGCCUGUAGCAUAGCUUGCAGAUCGUAAUGAACCUUAUUAACCCCUUUUAUUAUUAUUUACUGAUUUGUAUGUUUAUAUGAAUUCCUAACUUCGGUUGGUUGUAGUUUAUAUAGAUGUCGUAUAUUACUAAUACGAAACAACUCUUAGCAACGGAUAUCUUGGUUCUCGUAACGAUGAUGAACGCAGC
rnacentral:misc_RNA from 1 species